AUUUGAACAUUAUUAAAUUAAUAAGCACUAUUUUAAUUAAAAAUUCUCUUCUUACCUACUAACCAUAUUUUGACAAUGGUGUUAUAAUAAUAGUAGCCCAAUUUCAAGUGAUCUAAGCCUAGCACUUUUUAAUCAUCCAAUUGUGGCCCAAAUAGAUGUCUUAAUUCCAUUAGGAUUAAGAACCCUUUUAGCCCAUUGUUAUUUAAAAAGCCUUGUACCUUAUUUCCCCUUCUUUUACUCACGCAUAAACCUUUCUCCUCCCAAAAUAUUGCUGCUACUACUCCCCUGUUUCACGCACUCAACCAGAAAAAAAAAAUAAAAAAAAAUAAGAAAAAAAAAUCUCUUCGUUGCUAUGCUGCUACCGCCGACGACAGGCCACCACCGGCGCCCACCGCUGCUCCAGCGACCACCGCAGUUCCCCACGACCACCAGAGAGGACUUCGUAGAGGGCGAUUUCUAGUUCCUAAAGUGGCCAACCAACUCGUUUACUCAAGAGAGAUGGACAAAAAUCCAGUGAAGGUGACUAAACAUAAUCAGAAAAUAGAAAACGAUGACAGCGACUCUUGGGAUGAGUGGACUUUACAUCCAAAUCAAAAUGAUGAAAGUGAGAAAACAUACCAGGACUAGUACGAAGAUAGAACAGCUAAGAAAAAGGACAAAAAGAAGACCUUUCGGAGAAUUCUUAACCAUAUAUCAGAUGACAAGGAGGACGUAGAACCGCCAAAACCACAAGUUGGGAAGAGGAUUACUAGAAAUCCAAACCCAUUCUACAAGGCUGUUAUUGUAGAUUUUGAAGAUGAUAAUGACUCUAACUUUGACAUUAUUACUUAUGAAGAGGAGAAAGACAAUAACUUAAAUGUCGUCCCUUGAAGUUUAUGCUUACUACCAUAGAAAUAGCAUUAGUAGUUUCUUAUUCGUUAAUAGUGAUUAUUAGGAUUUUUAUGGAAUAAGUUAUUUAUUUUAAUAAGUGGCUGAGAGCUACAAACUAUCAUGUGGGAUUAGUACUUUCAUUUGAAUUAUAAUAAGAGUUGUUAUUUUAUUUUAAGGAUUCUGUUUCUGAUUAUAUUUUUGAAUCAAGAUCAAUAUAAGUUUUUGUGGCUACUUAUAAUUUUGAGUCAAACUCCCUUGUUUAUGCUUAAGCUGAGUAAGAGUGGCCAGGAUGGGAAUUAUUUUCUUAACUUUAUUUAAUCCUGCGUGUAGAUUGUGCUUUUAAUCGUUUGAUUUUGCUUGGGACAAGGGGGUGCAAAGACUAAAGUACCCUUUUGAACCAAUUU